GAUGAACGCUGGCGGCGUGCCUAAUACAUGCAAGUCGAGCGAAUGGAUUAAGAGCUUGCUCUUAUGAAGUUAGCGGCGGACGGGUGAGUAACACGUGGGUAACCUGCCCAUAAGACUGGGAUAACUCCGGGAAACCGGGGCUAAUACCGGAUAACAUUUUGAACCGCAUGGUUCGAAAUUGAAAGGCGGCUUCGGCUGUCACUUAUGGAUGGACCCGCGUCGCAUUCGCUAGUUGGUGAGGUAACGGCUCACCACGGCAACGAUGCGGAGCCUACCUGGGAGGAUGAUCGGCCGCAACAGGGCUGAGAAACGGCCCAGACUCAUACAGGAGGCAGCAGUAGGGGAUCUUCCGCAAUGGACGAAAGUCUGACGGAGCAACGCCGCGUGAGUGAUGAAGGCUUUCGGGUCGUAAAACUCUGUUGUUAGGGAAGAACAAGUGCUAGUUGAAUAAGCUGACACCUUGACGGUGCCUAACCAGAAAGCCACGGCUAACUACGUGCCAGCCGCCGCCGUAA
rnacentral:rRNA from 1 species